GAACCGCGUGAAGGAUCAUUAACGAGAGGGGUUUUCGGACCCCGGGGCUUCGGCCCCUAACUCUUCACCCUGUGUUUACGUACCAUUGUUGCUUUGGCGGGCCCUGGGGCGUGCCCCUGGCCGGCCGGUGGUCCAGCGGCCCCGGCUCGCUCGUGCCUGCCAGAGGCCCAUGAAACCCAACCUUAUCUUCUGACGUCCGAGCCAAAAUACAAUCGUAAAAACUUUCAACAACGGAUCUCUUGGUUCUGGCAUCGAUGAAGAACGCAGCGAAAUGCGAUAAGUAAUGUGAAUUGCAGAAUUCAGUGAAUCAUCGAAUCUUUGAACGCACAUUGCGCCCCUCGGUAUUCCGGGGGGCAUGCCUGUUCGAGCGUCAUUACACCCCUCAAGCUCGGCUUGGUAUUGGGUCCUUCGCCCUUCGGGACGGGCCCGAAAGUUAGUGGCGGCCCGGCGUGACUUCGAGCGUAGUAAUCUUUCUCCCGCUUUGGAAGCUCGCGCUGUGACCGGCCAGAACGCCCAAAUUUUUCAAUGAUUGACCUCGGAUCAGGUAGGGAUACCCGCUGAACUUAA
rnacentral:rRNA from 1 species